GGGAGGGACCCCGUGGAAGGUGAUUGGAUCAUGAGGGUGGUUCCCUCAUGCUGUUCUUGGGAUAGUGGGUUCUAUAAAAUUUAUGGUUUUAUAAUGCAGUUUUCCCUUCUCUUGCAUGCUCUCUCUCCCCUGUCACCAUGUAAGACGUACCUCUUCCCCUUUUGCCAUGAUUAUAAGUUUCCUGAAGCCUCCCCAGCCAUGCAGAACUGUGAGUCAAUUAAACCUCUUUUCUUUAUAAAUUACCCAGUCUCGGGUAUGUCUUUAUAGCAGUGUGAAGACGGACUAAUACAAUAUGCUAAUGCAAGUGGGAAAACUAAGAUUGAUUUUGGAAUGAAACAUGCAGUCUCAACUUAAGAACACCCAAUUUACAAAACUAUAUAUAUCCAGACAGAGUCAUACUGAAUGCCAUGUUCUCCCACAUCAAUGUCAAAUGCUUAGCAUGGCCAGCAAAAAGCUGUUCCUUUGCUGUAAUGCAACCGUGUCUUCUGAAUAUGGAUCCAUAUUCACUUUCCAUCUUAUCCUCCAUCAGACACACUCUUCUUUUCCUAAAGCAUUUGCAGGGCAACAGAGGGUUCCAGGUUUCAGAAUUUAAACAGUCGUAUCUCAUUGAAAAUAAGUUUAAUGAUUAUUAAGUUUCCAAGCUAGAUUACAGAAGUCUUUUUAGCCCAUAUCAUAAAUAAAAUAGUUCUGAAUUUUUCGUAUGGAAAAAUAUACUCUGAGUUCCAAGCAAACAACUUAAGAAAAUUUUUAGAACUAACACAUUCCUAUAUUGGGAAGAGCUCAAAAGUCUGUUCUUCCUCCCCAUCCACUGUUGUUUAAUUAAUCUCUUAAUAUCAUAAAGUCCCUCAUGUGCCAAGUGUAGACAGUCAUUUUUGAAUCAGGGCUCACUUUGUUAGCUUUUUUGUCAAUUAAACCUCUUUUCUAUAUAAAUUACCGAGUCUCAAGUAUGUCUUCAUAGCAGUGUGAAAACAGACUAAUACAGGAAUUUGGUACCAGGAGUGGGGCAUUGCUAUAAAGAUACUUGAAAGUGUGGAAGCACCUUUGGAACUGGGUAACGGGUAGAGGUUGGAAGAGUUUGGAGGGCUCAGAAGAAGACAGGAAGAUGAAGGAAAGUUUGGAGCUUCCUGGAGACUUGUUGAAUGGUUUUAACCAAAAUGCUGACAGUGAUGUGGACGAUUAAGUCCACACUGAGGUGGUCUCAGAAGGAGAUGAGGAACUUAUUGGGAACUGGAGUUGCCAAUAGAUCAGCAGUUAACCAGAAGCUUGAGUUGAGUAUGGACCUGACAUAUGGAUAGACAUAUUGACAUCUUAUGCUAGUGUUCUGGCCCUCCCUGCCCCGACAGUGAUAGAAGCAUCCAUCAACGCCCAUCCUGACAUCAGCAUAAAGCACAGGUUGGAGAGAUUGUAGAUAAAGGCAGAGAGGCUAUUAUAAUGCUUCUCACCUCCAGUUCCCCAGAUGGAAGACAAGGAGGCCCUGGAACAAAGGAAUGGCAUUUGGGACAAAGUGAUGUUGGCAAGUAAGAAAUGCAGCAGUGGUCCAACCCACAGGAGAUGCCAGACAAUUGCUCAUGGCAUGAGAUAGGGUCAUGAGGAAAAGCUGAAGAACUGAAAAUCUUUCUUCUUCCCUCCCUAGGCAUUCAUGCUCCCACCUCAUCUACAUCCCACAGAUCCUCCAUUUUCUCUAGGUAUGAGAUUUAUUUCCAAGCUAGACUGAAAGCUGGAAGAAGAUGGGACACAUGUCUGCUUCAUUUUCUAUUUCCCCAGCAUGUAGGUGCAGCACCCAGCCCCUAGUUGUUUAUCAAUUAUAGGUCUUGAUGGUCAUGUCCCCAGCCUCCCGCCUCAGGAGUAGGCUUCACAUGUCUCCCUUUCAGAAACAAAGCCACGUAAGACUCCAAAACCCCGCCUUCCCUUGGGCUCCACACAAUCAGCAUACAUCUUUCCUUAUCUGUUUUGUGCUCUGAAAAUCGUGUCUACCUCCAAAUGAUACAUCUUUAAAGUGAGUCACCCCUCCUCACAAUCUACUCCAAAAUUUCCAACAAGUUUUCUUCUUUUCAUUCUUCCUCCCACCAGCCUAUCCUAUUCCCUUCUCUCCCCCCACAAAAUCUAGCUCUUCUUUAAAUACAUUUAAACAUUUUCGCUAGGACAUUUCAUCUAUACAGGAUAUGCUAUAUUCUAACUAUUUCUUAGUAAACAUUGAAGGGAGUUUCUUCCUUUAUUCAAGUAUGGAACCCUGCUCAAUAUCCUUUUGGUCUUCAUAUGCCUUCUUUCAAGGCCUUUGUGAAAUUUUUUUCCAUGCCUGAAAGCCGGUGGGGUUUUACACAGGGACUGCGAUGGCUAAAUCCAAGGCAGAGUGGGAUCUUUAUCUAUUAACCAUUUGAUAACUCAAGUUUAUCCCUUGAUGAAUGAAUAAGUUAUCAUUUGCCUUUGGGUCCCAUUCUUGAGUGGUCAUGGAGAGUUCUGUAGCUCACCCUCUUUAUACUCAUAAUUUGCACAAAUUUCACCUAAGAGUAUUUACUUAACCACUUUAAUUCAAUUUGUCUCUACCUAAGACAUUUAAUUCAACAAAUAUUUUUUAAGCUUCUCUAUAAAAGGGACUCUGGCAACUUUCAGACCCGCACUGUAGCACCAGCUCUCUGCUGGCCCACCCCUUGCAGACUUUGGGCUUGCCUGCCUUCAAAAUCAUGUGAGUCAAUUCCUUAAAAUAAAUAUAUUUUUAUUUAUUUAUAUAUAUGUUUGCACACACACGCGAAUCUUAUUUUUUCUGUUUCUCUGGAGAAUUCUGACUAAUGCACCCCCAUUCACCAUCCAGGCUUUUGAGGAGAAAGAUACCAAUCUUAGCAGCAGAGGACACUCUGGAUAGAGCUAGGAGUUUGUUGCAGAGUCUGACAAAAGUUCCCUCUGCAGAAGGGAUGGAAGGAUAGCCUUGGGGGUUGAUUUAGGACUGGGUGUAUGACAUGGGGGAAAAGAAAUCCCUGGGGGAGCUAAAUGAGGGGAGGUGGACCCCUUAUGAUAGUUUAUCAGAGCAAUCUAAGAAAUCAUGUAGGCCUCUAAGAAAGCAUCAAGAAUCAAUGCAAUUUGAUUAAUUGACUUAAAAUAUGUUGAACUUUUCAGCCUCCAUUGUGUAUUUUUGGUGCAAUACUCUGUGCAACUAUUUCAUCCAAGACCAGAAGGGGCUGGAAGAUUGCCUGCUUCACAUUAAAACCCUCCUUAUUGUAUUGGUGCUGACACGACACAAGGAUAUGCAGCUUAAUGAGGGAUAAAUGUCAUAAUUAUCCAUAUUUCUCCACAUUUUUUUUAGAAAAAAACAUUCACACAAUGAAGGGAAUCAGAAUCUGUUUUUAUAUCCCUAGAGUUAUAAACAUUUGUAUCAAAAUAUUUACAAUUAUAGUA
rnacentral:lncRNA from 1 species